rnacentral:rRNA from 1 species
GUCUAUAGCCGUACCCACCAUGAACACACCCCAUCUCACCCUGAUCUCAGAAGCUAAGCAGGGUUGGGGCCCUGGUUAGUAACUUGGGAUGGGAAACAAUAGAAU